ACUUCCUCCCACACAAGCACUGGUCUAUACUCAGAUGAAGACUCUAGGGAGACCUCUACAGACCUCUGAAGUUCUACAAAGCUCCCUCCUCUCAGUUGAUGGACAUGGAACCCUUGAUUGCCUUCAGCUAAUUCCAUGAUGCUUCCCAAUACCACUAAUGGCCAGUUUCACUUCUGCUCCAAUUGGACAGUGACGUGCACCCAGGAAUAGCCCUUCAGCAUGCCUCCUGCUCUUCCUCCCCCCGACUAGGAACACUCUCAGGGCUAACAAUACCACGAAGGAUAUUGACCAUUGAGACCCCUGGAGGCAGGACUGCUCUCCAACUCCACAUCUGAGGCAAAUUCAUCCUAUGCAAACGAUGGGGAGUGGUAACUAAUAAUUUGUCCUCUCAGU